GUGAAUCAUCGAAUUUUUUCCCUCCCCUUUCCCUCUCCUCUUAUAUUAUGCCUGUUUGAGGGUCAGCCUAUAAAAAAUCGACAUCGUUGCUGUUUCGCGGUGGCGUUCUUCGGAAAUUGGGUCAUCUUAAAUCUUUUGGUUUUAAGCGACCUAAAAUUUUCCUUUUGGUUCCAUGAACGUUUCUAAGAUUUAUUUCUUUACACGUUUAAGGUAUCGAUUUUUUUUAGACGUGUCACUAAUCUCGGAUCGCGCCCAUAAU
rnacentral:misc_RNA from 1 species